ACAAAGGUUAACUCAACAACGGAGAUUCGACUACACUAUGCCCCCGAUGAGCGAAGGUUUGUUUUAAAUGAAAAAGGUAAAAUCGACCCUUAUUCUUCUGCUUAUCGAGGUAAGAUGCUUGAAACCUUUGAAACACUUUUGUACUCCUCGGAUAGUGAUAAAGAUCGUGUUGAUGAACACUUAGAUCGAAACGUGCUUGACUGUCCUAUUUUAUUUAUUGAUGAUCUAUCUGUUUUGAUGGUUGAUAAAAAGAUUCUUGUUUUUGAUAAUGCAUGCGUGAGUGAAUCUAUAGACCGUCGAUUAAUGCAUGGUAUGAUUAUGCAACUCUGUGAACCAUGUGAAUCUUUUCAAAUACCUACUUGUGACGAUUAUGUUUACCAUUUGAUUUAUUACUCGCAAUUUAUUCAUGGUUUGUGGGAACAAUGUGAGACGACUGAAUGCCUUAAAACAU
rnacentral:lncRNA from 1 species